UCCUCCAACAACAAACACAACAAGAAAAACAACAAAUUCAACAACAACUCCAACAACAAGAAGCUGAACAACCUGCUGUGGUCCUAUUUUCUCAUUUCCACUCUUCUUCUCCUCCUUCCUCUUCUUCUCUUUCUCCUUCUCC
rnacentral:ribozyme from 13 species